CAAUAGCGUAUAUUAAAGUUGUUGCAGUUAAAAAGCUCGUAGUUGGAUUUGUGGCUGUCACGGGCGGCCUAUCACUUAGUGUUAGUGCUUGCCUGUGUCGCCAUCCUUGGGUGGAGCCCGUGUGGCAUUAGGUUGUCGUGCGGGGGAUGCCCAUCGUUUACUGUGAGAAAAUUAGAGUGUUCAAAGCAGGCUUAUGCCGUUGAAUAUGCUAGCAUGGAAUAAUAAGAUAGGACCUCGGUACUAUUUUGUUGGUUUGCGCACCGAGGUAAUGAUUAAUAGGGACAGUUGGGGGUAUUCGUAUUUCAUUGUCAGAGGUGAAAUUCUUGGAUUUCUGAAAGACGAACUACUGCGAAAGCAUUUACCAAGGAUGUUUUCAUUAA
rnacentral:rRNA from 1 species